AUACGGAGGGUGCAAGCGUUGUUCGGAAUUAUUGGGCGUAAAGCGCGUGUAGGCGGUCUGUUAAGUCUGGUGUGAAAGCCCUGGGCUCAACCCAGGAAGUGCAUUGGAUACUGGCAGACUUGAGUAUGGGAGAGGAAAGCGGAAUUCCGAGUGUAGGAGUGAAAUCCGUAGAUAUUCGGAGGAACACCAGUGGCGAAGGCGGCUUUCUGGACCAAUACUGACGCUGAGACGCGAAAGCGUGGGGAGCAAACAGGAUUAGAAACCCGAGUAGUCC
rnacentral:rRNA from 1 species